UCACAGAUAUUUUUCCCUGUCUGACCC
rnacentral:piRNA from 1 species